AAAAAAUAAAUUACGAAGGAUUUUACAAAAUUAUCCUUCAUUAAUGGUAUUGGAAAGACAAAUUAACAUAAUUGAAAUGAGAGAGAAUAAUAAAUAUUUAAGGAUAUAAGAGGAAAAAUAACAUUAAUAAUUCAUUGAUAUUAUAAAACGACUUAUAUUGUGGUACAAAAUAUUUUUACAAAGUGACAUAUAAUAAAAAACGGAGGUAGUAUAAAAGAGUGGGGGAAUAUUCAUGGCCGACCGAAUUCCUCCUUUCUAAAAUAAAUGUUAAAUAAUAAUUUUGAGAUUUAAUUGAUAUACAUCGAUAAUGUAAAAAGAUUUUAAACUAUCAAUUAAUCAUAUCCGUUGGAUAUUAAAAUAAGUUUGAAAUUUAUUUUAAAAAUUUAUAAAGUAAUACAAAUAGGUGAUGGUGAUGAAUCGAU
rnacentral:lncRNA from 1 species